rnacentral:rRNA from 1 species
AGUAGGGAAUCUUCCGCAAUGGGCGAAAGCCUGACGGAGCAACGCCGCGUGAGUGAAGAAGGUCUUCGGAUCGUAAAACUCUGUUAUUAGGGAAGAACAAAUGUGUAAGUAACUAUGCACGUCUUGACGGUACCUAAUCAGAAAGCCACGGCUAACUACGUGCCAGCAGCCGCGGUAAUACGUAGGUGGCAAGCGUUAUCCGGAAUUAUUGGGCGUAAAGCGCGCGUAGGCGGUUUUUUAAGUCUGAUGUGAAAGCCCACGGCUCAACCGUGGAGGGUCAUUGGAAACUGGAAAACUUGAGUGCAGAAGAGGAAAGUGGAAUUCCAUGUGUAGCGGUGAAAUGCGCAGAGAUAUGGAGGAACACCAGUGGCGAAGGCGACUUUCUGGUCUGUAACUGACGCUGAUGUGCGAAAGCGUGGGGAUCAAA